AACCAGCACCUCAAGUGGUCAGGAUGAUUAUUGGGCCUAAAGCAUCCGUAGCCGGCUCUGUAAGUUUUCGGUUAAAUCUGUACGCUCAACGUACAGGCUGCCGGGAAUACUGCAGAGCUAGGGAGUGGGAGAGGUAGACGGUACUCGGUAGGAAGGGGUAAAAUCCUUUGAUCUAUUGAUGACCACCUGUGGCGAAGGCAGUUCACUGGACCGUGAUCGACGCUGAGGAGCGAAAGCUAGGGGAGCAAACAGG
rnacentral:rRNA from 1 species